UGACUAGCAGAGGCUAGAAGGAA
rfam:HIV-1 isolate 93TH057 from Thailand, complete genome.